AACAAGGUUUCCGUAGGUGAACCUGCGGAAGGAUCAUUAAAAAAUAUCACUUGAUUGAAAGUGAUUUAAUAAUCAUCCUACCCUUUGUGAAUUUGUUAUUUGAAAUAAUUUUUUUUGACGUGGAAUAAAAAAAAAAUUAUUUAUGGUUUUGUCUAUCCCUAAAUUGGUUUGUUUGUUGUAAAAGACAAGUGAAUCAUUUAGGGAAUAGGCUUUCCUAAAUAGUUGAUUUUUUUUUCCAAUGUCUUAAAAGACCUUUUUUUAAAAUUAAACUUUUGUAUUCAUUUGUCUAAAAUUAUUUUUAAUAAUUUAAAAACAACUUUUGACAAUGGAUCUCUUGGUUCUCGCAACGAUGAAGAACGCAGCAAAAUGCGAUAAGUAAUGUGAAUUGCAGAAUACGUGAAUCAUCAAAUUUCGAACGCAUAUUGCACUUUUUUAGUUUACUAAAAAAGUAUGUCUGUUUGAGUAUCAGUAGAAUAUUCUCAUAAAACAUUGUUUUUAUGGUUAUGAGUGUUUUACAACGAUAACAAGUUGUUUCACUUUAAAUUCAUUUUAGUUAAGACCAUUUUGGUUUUAUUAUUAAAAUUGGGUAAAAUUUUCCCGUAAAAAGGAAUAAACUUUUCAGUUUUAAAAAUAAAUCAAUUGACUAUGUAAAAAGGAAAUUUAUAAUAAACUAACUUGAUCUCAAAUCAGAUAAGAGUACCCGCUGAACUUAAGCAUAUCAAUAAGCGGAGGAAAAGAAACUAACUAGGAUUCCCUCAGUAACGGCGAGUGAAGCGGGAAGAGCUCAAAUUUGAAAUCUUCAAGGUUUUACCUUGACGAAUUGUAGCUUAAAGAAGUGUUUUCUGUUGGAAUUUUGGUAAAAGUUCUUUGGAAAAAGACAUCAAAGAGGGUGAGAAUCCCGUAUUUGACCAUUAUUUCCAGCUUUGUGAUACACUUUCGAAGAGUCGGAUUGUUUGGGAAUGCAGUCCAAAAUGGGUGGUAAAUUUCAUCUAAAGCUAAAUAUCGGCGAGAGACCGAUAGCGAACAAGUACGUGAGGGAAAGAUGAAAAGAACUUUGAAAAGAGAGUUAAACAGUACGUGAAAUUGUCAAAAGGGAAGCGUUUGACACCGGUGUUGUUUUCUCGAAAAUCAAUUAAAAAAGAUUGGAUUUUGUGUUGUAUUGACUUCAUCAGCUUUCUGCACUCUUUCUUGUCUUUUUUAAUGCACUUUUCGUUUAACAAGUCAACAUCAAUUUCUUUGUUGUAAAAGAGUCAUUGGAAGGUGGCUUUCUUUUCGGAGAAAGUGUUAUAGCCUUUGGCUUCUGCAAUCGGAGAGAUUGAGGUCUGCAGCGUAGAUCCUUCGGGGAUAGAUACAUUUGUGCUAAGUUAUAGCCUUUCAUAGACAACUUGUUGACUAUGAUUAGUCAUGUAGCUUACUCGCUUAUGCUAUUUUACCUACGCUUAGGAUGUUGAG
rnacentral:misc_RNA from 1 species